ACAUUAUUGAACGAAAUUAAGGAAACACCUAAAUAAAUGGAAAGAUAUAGAGGACUUCAUAUUUUUAAUAUGGCAAUACUCCUUAAUUGAUCUGUAUGUUCAGUGCAAUUCCUACUGAAAUCCUAGCUCUCUUUAUUGCAGAAAUUGACAAGUUAAUCAUAAAUUUAUAUAAAAGCAAAGGGACUUAGCAUAGCUAAAACAGUCUUGAAAAAGAACAAAGUUUGAAGACUUUACUUCCUAAUUUCAAAAUUUAUUACAAAACUACAGUAAUCAAGACAAUGUAGUACUAACUUAAGGAUGAAUAUACAGAUUAAUGGAAAGGAAUUGACAGUCUCAAUAUAAUUUCUCACAUUGAUGGUAACUGAUUUUUGAUCAGGGUGCCAAGACAAUUCAUGGGCAAAGAAUAGUCUUUUUAAAUAAUAGUGCUGGGACAACUGGAUAUCCACAUGUAAAAUAAUGAAGUAAGACAACUACUUCACACUAUAUACAAAAAAAAAAAAAAAAGCUUAAAGUGGAUCAUAGGCCUAUAUAUAAGAGCUAAACUUAUUAAAACUCCAAGAAGAAACACAAGUCUUUGUGUACUUAGAUUAGGCAGUGGUUUCUUAGAUGUGACACCAAAAGCUCAAGUGACAAGAAAAAUAGUUAAGUUAGACUUUAUCAAAGUUAAAAACAUUUGUGCGUCAAAGAACACUAUCAAAAAUGUGAAAAGACAACCCACAAAAUGGAAGAAAAUGUUUGGGAAUCAUACAUUCUGAUAACUGUCUUAUCUCCAGAAUAUAAAAGAAUUCUUACAGCUCAACAAUACAACUUAAUCUAAAAAGUAGGCAAGGGACUUGAAUAGACAUUUUUCCAAAUAAGACAUAUAAAUGGCCAAUAAGCAUGUAAAAAGAUGCCCAACAGGCGGGCCCCAGAGCGGGCUCAGGGGAGUGUUGCAUGCCAGGCGCCUCCCGCCCGGAACAUACGGAGGCUGGCCCAGGCGGCACAGGAGCUGGAGCAGGGCCUGAGUGGGCGUCCGAGCCCCAGCGGAAGUGGGAGAAGGGCUGGAGCGGGGGUCCGCGCCGCGCUGCUGAAGCCUGGCCGGCCGCCCAGACACUGCCUGCGGCCCGGCCAUGGCAGAGCCAAGGAAAGGAUCUCUAUACAAACAAAUACGUGGCUGUCAAAUUGGAGCUGAUGAAGUCCCGGGCCCCACAGCUGCACCUGGGGUACUGGUUCUACAAGCGGCUCAGCGCCACUGAGGGCGCCCCUCAGGUCUACUACCUACUACUUCGGCCUGUGCUGGAAGUACAAUGCUAUGGUGCUGGAGCUGCUGGGGCCCAGCCUGAAGGACCUGUUCAACCUUCACGCUGAAGACGGUGCUCCCGAUCGCCAUCCAGCUGAUCGCACGCAUGGAGUAUGUGCACACCAAGAGCCUCAUUUACCAGGACGUGAAGUCCGAGAACUUCGUGGUGUGGCGCCCGGGGACCAAGCGGCAGCUCGCCAUCCACAUUAUCAACUUCGGGCUGGCCAAGGGGUACAUUGGCCUUGAGACCAAGAAGCACAUCCCGUACCGUGAGCACAAGAGCUUGACAGGCAGGGCGCGCUACAUGAACAUCAACAUGCAGCUGGGCAAGGAGCAGAGCCACUGCAGUGACCUGGAGGUGCUGGGCCACAUGUUCAUGUACUUCCUGUGCUGCAGCCUCCCCUGGCAGGGGCUCAAGGCCGACACGAUCAUGAACGGUACAGAAUAUCGGGAACACCAAGCGCACCACGCCCAUCGAAGUGCUCUGCUAGAACUUUCCAGAGGAGAUGGCCACAUACCUGCACUACGUGCAGCGCCUGGACUUCGAGAAACCCGACUGUGACUACCUGUGGACCUCUCCACCGACCUCUUUGACCGAAGCGGCUUCGUGUUCGACUUUGAGUACCACUGGCCCAGGAAGCCCUUGGCGACCCCCAUCGGCACUGUCCACACCAACCAACCCUCCCAGCCUCAGCUUUGGGACAAAGAUCAGCCACACAGCAAAAACCAGGUGCUGACCUCCACCAAUGGGGAGCUGAAUGUGGACGACCCCAUGGCCGGCCAGUCCCGCACCUAUCACGGCGCCUGCAGAAAUGCAGGUGGGCGAUGAAACCAAAUGCUGCUGUUUCUUCCCCUUGAAUCUUCUCCGUGCAGCCCCUUGGGGCGUGAGCUUGUGUGAGGCCCUUGGGGACCACCCACAGCAGCCCAGGGCCAGACUCUGGCUGGAAGCCGGGACGCAGACUUAAGGGCCUGCGCCUGUCUCGGCCGGUGGCCCCAUCCCGUAGACGAGGGGUCACUUCCUUCACAUAAAACUGGCCAAAAUUUCUAUACCUGUGUCUAGUCC